GACGAACGCUGGCGGCGUGCCUAACACAUGCAAGUCGAGCGAUGAAGCCCUUCGGGGUGGAUUAGCGGCGGACGGGUGAGUAACACGUGGGUAACCUGCCUCAAAGAGGGGGAUAGCCUCCCGAAAGGGAGAUUAAUACCGCAUAACAUUAGUUUUUCGCAUGAGGAACUAAUUAAAGGAGUAAUCCGCUUUGAGAUGGACCCGCGGCGCAUUAGCUAGUUGGUGAGGUAAAGGCUCACCAAGGCGACGAUGCGUAGCCGACCUGAGAGGGUGAUCGGCCACAUCGGAACUGAGACACGGUCCAGACUCCUACGGGAGGCAGCAGUGGGGAAUAUUGCACAAUGGGCGAAAGCCUGAUGCAGCAACGCCGCGUGAGUGAUGAAGGCCUUCGGGUUGUAAAGCUCUGUCUUUUGGGACGAUAAUGACGGUACCAAAGGAGGAAGCCACGGCUAACUACGUGCCAGCAGCCGCAGUAAAAC
rnacentral:rRNA from 1 species